rnacentral:lncRNA from 1 species
ACAGAUUCAGGACCACGGCCAGCACCCACACUGCCUUCCGUAAACACUGAGCUAAAUAAACCUAGAGCCUUGGUGAUGAGAUCAGCACUGCCUUUGUAAGUUGGUUUUCUCAACAAACAUCAACUGAACAUCUACUAAACGUAAGAGCACUCUGGCUGUCAACUGAAAACAGCAGCAGCAGCAGCAGCAGCAGCAACACCACCACCAACAACAACGACAACUGUUGCAUAUAUAACUGAAGAUCCACAGAGUCCCUCUUUCCAGUGUUAGUUGCUACAAGGAGUGAGAGAAUGAAGAUCUGACCUCAAGGAAUACAAGAGUUUUGUUCAAAGUUCCAAGACUAAGCUAUUAGAAGGGAGGGAGGGCCUGGUGCCAUGUCAUCUCUGACCAAGAGAAUUGGUAGAAUAGAAAUAAUCUAUUUCUCACGUGGUCUAGGACUUGACAAUUUACAUAGCAGUUUUAUAUCCUCUACUUCAUUUGACAUGCUCCCAUCACCCUGUGAAGCAUGUGUCAUUGUUACCACUCACUUUCCAGAUAAGGAGAGAUGGGGAGGCUCAGGGAGGUGAAUGGAUUUGCCUGAGGCCACUGGUCAGUGACUGAGCUGGGAUAGGAAUUACUUUCUCUGGUCUCUUGAUCUCACCUCUUUGUCUCACUCUUUCUGCUGCAUCUCAGUUGCUUCUGCGUCUGGCCAGACCCAAAAACAAAUCAUGUAAUUGAGUUGGAAUGUGGGUGCUGGGGCCCGGGAGACAAUGUUUUCUGCUUUUCAAUCUGUUCUUAAUUUAUUAAAGUGAUGAAAUAAGGAAGAGGCCCAGAAGGGUGGAUGUUUUCCAUCAGUGAGUCAGGGGAACAUGCAGAGGCAGAAGGUCAGGAGGAAGCUGCUGUUGCU